UGCGAUCUGCGCUUCCCGACAGGACACUCAAUCCCCGGGGCCUUACUCGAUCCUUAGGGAGCUGUCCCUGUCCCGGCCCGUGGGCUUGGACACACGGCGCCCACCUACUUUGUAGGCAUCCCGGGAUCGUAAAUCGUCCAUCGGUUGUCGUGGAUCGCGC
rnacentral:other from 1 species